UACGUAGGGUGCGAGCGUUGUCCGGAAUUAUUGGGCGUAAAGAGCUCGUAGGCGGCCUGUCGCGUCGGAUGUGAAAGCCCUUGGCUUAACCGAGGAAGUGCAUCCGAAACUGGCGAGCUAGAGUACUAAAGAGGAUCGCGGAAUUCCCGGUGUAGAGGUGAAAUUCGUAGAUAUCGGGAGGAACACCGGUGGCGAAGGCGGCGAUCUGGGUAGAUACUGACGCUGAGGUGCGAAAGCGUGGGGAGCAAACAGG
rnacentral:rRNA from 1 species